CUAUCGAUAGCACAGGCGCAGGCACAGGCCGCCCGCCUCACUCACUGGCGAAGCCCCACGAGGGAGAUGGCCGGAGGCUAGGCGGCGGCACUGAGAGGCUGCGCCGUGGUGCUGGUUGACGCGGCGGCUGUGCUGCUGCGGGGCUACGCCGCAGCCCGCCGGACUGCGGAGGGCGCAGGCGCAGACGUUCCGGCCUGCUGCCAUCGCCGGCGGCGGAGGUCGGAUUGGCACUCAGUUUUUUUGGUUGUUUCACUUCCUUGUGUCUUGAUGUUAUUUGAAUGGGUCGUUCUUCAUUUGCCCCUUUACAGGCAUAGUACUACCCCACGUGUGCUCACAUUUACUGAUUCCAAUUGAUGUUGGAAGCUUCAAUCUACCGGUAUGUGAUUUUUGACUCGUUAGAUCUGCUAUGUGAUUUGAUUUUUUGUGUGAGUUAUAGGCUUAGAUGCAGGUUGUUUUGUACUAAAAUGAGUGUUAGGGUUUGAUUUGUGUUCAUGUAGAGGCAAUAGUAGUAUUCUAAUGUGUUUUUCUCCUAUUUUGUUGUACUCAAAAUUGUGAAAAAAGGAGUGUGGAGUCAGAUCCCUUUGGGUGCUUUCGUGAUAUUCAAGUUCCUGUGAUUUUUCCCGGCUCAUUUUAUUGGAGAUUAAAUUAGUCAUUCACUAAAAGGUUGGAGCUAGAUUGCUUGAUAUUAUUCUCUUUCUGAAAAAGCAAGAUAUAUACACUCAACCUACGGAUCUUAUUAUCACACACUCUCUUUUUUGUGAUGGAAUCCAACCUUUGUUUGCAACUAGCUAUUUGGAGGCAACGAUUGAAUGUUCUUGACCAAAAUUGUGUGUUGGAGCUGUAAGUUGACAAGCAUUUUCUGCAGUCUGUAAUGUGUGCAUGUUCCAACGAAAACCUAUGAUUAUUGUGUUCGAUUGAUCUCCUCCACAUGCAGAUGCAGCGCUUCCUCCUGCAUAUUUUUAACAGUGUGAGAUAACCAAUGCGUUUGGGUGCCUUACAGAAGCAGGUUACUGGCUAGUAUUAAUUUGAGAUCCUUUUCUUGUGCUAAUUAACAACACCUUCAUGAGUAGGAGUAUUUAAUUGAUCAUAAGAGAGUAUGCACGUAAUUGGAAAUUGACACACAUUCAUGCUGGAGAAGUGAUCGAGCUAGCUCUCAAGCUCUGAAUAUGGUUUGGUCAGGAUCGUCGGAGAAGACUACAGAAGUUAGAACAGAUGUCGAUAAUACAAUGCAAGUUUUUGUGCCUAAGUGCAUUGUGGUGAUGUGUGGUUUUUGUUUUUUUAUUAUUUUCCUUUUUAUUUUCAUUUUUUUCUAGCAUAUCUGUAUUUCUGCUGUUUUUUUUUCAGUUUUUGUAGUUGUUGCUGCCUUUUUUUUGUUGUUCUGUGGUCUUUCUUUUGUUUUUUUUCUUGAAUUUAAGGGCUUAUCUUUUUCUUUUUUUAGCACAGUGGUUUUGUCUUUUUUUUGGAUUUGUUUUAGGCUAUUUGUGGGCCUUUCUUCAGGCUUCUCUUUUUUUGGAUGUGGCAUACCAUUCUGUGUGAGUGUGAGUGUGUCUCUAUUUGUGUUUGUUUUAUUGUGUGUGUUUGCUUGGGUCUGUGUGUGGCCGUUUGUGUGGGUUUCUGUCUCUCUCUCUCUCUGUGUGUUAUUUAGUUUUCUCUAGGUUGUUUUUGACUUGAAAUUUGAGUUGUUUCGGUUAAUUUUUGUUUUAUAUCUGACAGUUGCUUGCAAGUUCUUUGAUGUGAUCAUACUAUGUAGGUUAGUUUUAUUUUUUUUUUGUUUUUGUGCGUUUUUUUGUGUUUUUGUGUCUAUGUGUAUUUGGUUUUUUUCUCUAUUUUAGGUAUGUGUGCGUGUGCGUGUGCGCGUGCGCGUGUGCGUGUGUGUGUUUUUGUUUGUUUGUUUGUUUGUGGGUCUGUGUAAGUGUGUAUGUGUGUGUGUUGGUGAUUUUGUGUGUGUUUGUAAGUCUAGGUGUGUCUGUUUCUAUUUGAGAUUUUGUGUGUUUUGUUUUUUGUUAUACCUAAUUUUUUAAGUGUAUAUCUUUUAGUCUCUGCGGGUGCUUUUCCAUUUUUGGUGUUUUUGUUUGUGCAUUUCUUGCUCUUUGUGUUUUUAUUUUAUCUCUCUCUCUCUCUCUUUGUUUGUGUUUGGUUGUGUGUGUUUUUGGGUCUUUCCAGUACCUGUUGUUGCUACUAGAAAGCAGAGUGUGGGUAUGUGUUUGCUUUCUCUCUCUCUCUCUCUCUCUAUUUUGUGUACUUGUGGACUUGCCACAAUUUAGCUCUUAUGCUGGGGUUCAAGGAUAGAUUUCCCUUAUGCCUCUGAAGUUCUGUGUAAAUGAGACUAACUUUACCUUAGAAUGAAAUAGGUAGUUCUUUUGUGUUGAUUCUUGUGAUGCUCUUCUAUUCUGACAAGUUUCAAGGAUAGCCUCUGUAUAAGCACAGACCAAGCAAGUUUUGUGUAGCAAUUGAGGAGGCUUUCCUUGCUAAGCUUAUUUUUUAUCUCGAAAUGGAUGGGGUAUGAUCACCGCGAAAGUCUAUAAAUAAGCAGUCUGACGCCAAUGGUUUUCAGGAAUAUGCUGCUUCCAAUAACGAGCAACACUACCAAUCUACAUAAGUCCUAGGCAAUUGAAUGCGGUGUUCAGUGUGAAGCUACUUCCUUUGAUACAUCUUUUGAUACAGCUGCAAUUUAAUUUGAUGAUUUGCAGGUUGUUUGGCAAAUCAGCACUAUGUUGUGAUAGCUGUGGUAAUCGCCUAGCAUCCAAAGUUUCAAAGAAAACGAAGCAAGGGGUGAGCAUGUGCUUUGCAGGCACUGAGAAAGGUAUAUGGCUAACCUUUUUGAGUUGUGAGAUACUUCAUCUCUGGUGUUCUCUACACAUCCUCUUUCUUUCAAUGACUCAUGUGUAUAACCAUUACUCUCCGGUUAUUGCAGUUAAAACAAUAAUCUUUGCGUCGAGCCUCCACCGCCACCAGUGUGGCGUCCACCGGGUCAGUCACAUGCUGAAGCGGACAUCCACGCGCACCACGCCCGCAGGCACCGGCUGCAACACGUAGGCCAUCUGUACGAUGUCCAGCCGCUCCUACCGGCUCGGCAUGGUCAGCACGCCCACGAGCAGGCUAAUUGAUCUCGGCGUUGGCGACGGUGGAGACCUUCUCCUCGUCAAUGCCCGACGUGACGGAGUAGCAGCCACCGUCGUCAGUGCCCACACGACUGUAGAGCACGCCGAGGCUCUGGGAACGGGCAUGGGAGGAGCUGAGGUUGGGGAGCGCCAACAGUAGAGCGAGAAGGCCCAGCGGCACCAGGAGGAGGUAUGGCGUGCAAAGCGACGCGGUGUGGAGGUGGAGCCUAUGCGAAGAUGUAGUUGUAGUUGACUGUUGUUGAGUUUUUGAUGUUUUAUGCUAGUACUAACGGGUUUUGUAAAAUCUGACAGAUUUUUUAUUGCAGAACUGUCACUUUUUGUUGUUACACGUGUUAGCUUUAGAUUAGUCAAAAAAUUGACAGAUUUCUGUUUGAAAAAUCUGUCGCCAGAUGAAUAGACAGACCCA
rnacentral:lncRNA from 1 species